GAUGAACGCUGGCGGCGUGCCUAAUACAUGCAAGUCGAACGGAGAUCAGCGAUGGUCUCAGUGGCGAACGGGUGAGUAACACGUUGGUAACCUGCCCUGGAGUGAGGGAUACCAGGCCGAAAGGCUUGCUAAUACCACAUGUGCAGUCGAGGAAUAGCAGCUUGAUUGCAAAGGAAGGAGUUCGGAAGAACCCUAACGCUCUAGGAGGGGCCUGCGACCCAUCAGCUAGUUGGUAAGGUAACGGCCUACCAAGGCGAUGACGGGUAGGGGACCUGAGAGGGUGACCCCCCACAAUGGAACUGAAACACGGUCCAUACACCUACGGGUGGCAG
rnacentral:rRNA from 1 species